rnacentral:lncRNA from 8 species
GGCGCACAUGGAGACGGCCACUCCGAUGGUUCCUGUACGAAUCGAUGGCAUCGACACCAGCGCUCUGUUGGACUCCGGCAGCAUGGUGACCCUGGCCCACCCGCAGUGGCUCAAACGAGAGGGGAAGGAGGAACCGAGUGACAAGGAGGAACCGGGUGACGAGGAGGUGACAGUGUCCUGUGUACACGGGGACACGAAGAGGUACCCAAUGGUGCCCGUGAGGAUAACCACCUCAAAGGGGGAGUGUCAGAUGCGUGUGGGAGCUGUUCCUAACCUACCCCUGUCCAUUCUCCUCGGUCGAGACUGCCCUCUCUUCCAGGCACUGUGGAGGAGGGACCUGGGAAGGCGAGCAUGGGAGGUAGGAAGAAAAGGAAAAAGGACAGUCGCCUAUGCAAACCAACCCCCGCCACGAGAGGUGUCCACUGGGCCCGAGUCGGACCUGGAGGAGGGAGACGACCCAGCUCCGGCAAGCGAGUCACCGGGUGAGGAAGACCUCAGGCUCCCCUUUAUGGCGGUGGAGGCCCUAGAUGGACCUCCCGACACGGGAAUCCUCACUGGUCAGUUCGGGACAGCCCAGUUAGAAGACCCCAAUCUCCAGAGCGCUAGGGGCCAGGUGAUUGUGGUGGAUGGCGUAAUGUUACCUGGGGUAAGUGAUUGGCGCUACCCCUACUUUGCAAUCAAGCAUAAUUUAUUCUAUCAGGUAGUAAAGCAUAAUGGGGAGACAAAAGACUUGUUACUCAUACCCAGCCAGUAUGUAAGGGAACACCCCCCUGAAAUGGACAAAAAUGAAUGGGAUCUUAUUGGCACCGUACGAAACAUAUACACGAUGUACAAUACCAGUCAAAUGGACGUCGUUUCAUUCAAAAUUGAUUGCAAAUGCCAUAUUGCAAAUGCCAAGUGUCACACAGCAAAAAUCCAAUAGAUGGUGAGCACGCUCCACUGUACAAUUUCUUAUUGCAAAUGUAACACAAGUCAAGACCCAAGAGUAAAACUUUUUUUUUUUUUAAACUUAGCACCCCCUUAAAGUGCUUUCUGGACCGUUUUUUAAAUUAAUUAAUUUAUUGUCAAUUACACAUGUAUAAGAAC